rnacentral:rRNA from 1 species
UACGGAGGGGGCGAGCGUUAUUCGGAAUUAUUGGGCGUAAAGGGCGCGUAGGCGGCUUGACAAGUCAAAGGUGAAAUCCCUCGGCUCAACUGAGGAACUGCCUUUGAAACUGUCUGGCUUGAGGCCGGGAGGGGGUAGCGGAAUUCCCAGUGUAGCGGUGAAAUGCGUAGAUAUCAGGAGGAACACCGGUGGCGAAGGCGGGUCUCUGGGCCGUAACUGACGCUGAGGAGCGAAAGCAUGGGGGAGCGAACAGG